rnacentral:lncRNA from 1 species
CACUGUGGAAUUUCCAUAAGCUGCUGGACACAGCUGAUGGGUACCAGGUAUGAGUGGCAACGUUCGGCAAUUCCAUUAACUGAAAAGAACUACCGAGAAACGGUGAGGCGGGGCGGCGAAGAUGAGACCAGCUGCCCAUCACUCCAGAGGACCUGCUGAAAGAAUCUGAACUCACCACGCCUUCGGGUCCGCAAGGGAAAGGUCCGGCUGACACGCCCCCGCGACCGCUGUCGCCCUGGGGAAAACACGAGAAACACCCGGCACCGCCAGGUUCCAGAGACCUUCACAAAAAACCCAGAUCCCCCACCAAACAGAUCUACUGUCCAACAUGAUUUGACCCCUGAUAAUGGGAAACUGAAGACUAAAUCCUGAUCGCUGUUCUUUGUUCUAAAUUUCUUCCUGAGGGGCCUGGAGGAGAUCACACCCCUGAGCGAGAGCUAAUAUUCUUUUCUGCUGAUCCCAAAUUUUUAGACAAAGCUUUGCCUCCUUAGCAAAUCAAACGUCAGAAAAUCUUUGAAUCCACCUGUAACCUGUGCCCCGAACCACUUCAAGAUGUCCAGCCUUUUAAAAUCAAACCAACGUAUAGCUUCCGUGUAUUGAUUUAUGACGUCGCCUGUAACCUCUGCCUCCUCACCUUUAAAAACUCUUACCUGUAAGCAAUGUGGGAGUUCAGGUCUUAAGCAUGAGCUACUCAAUUCUCC